CCUACGGGAGGCAGCAGUGAGGAAUAUUGGUCAAUGGCCGAGAGGCUGAACCAGCCAAGUCGCGUGAGGGAUGACGGCCCUACGGGUUGUAAACCUCUUUUGUCGGGGAGCAAGACCCGCCUCGUGCAGGCGGAGCGAGAGUACCCGAAGAAAAAGCAUCGGCUAACUCCGUGCCAGCAGCCGCGGUAAUACGGAGGAUGCGAGCGUUAUCCGGAUUUAUUGGGUUUAAAGGGUGCGUAGGCGGUCCGUUAAGUCAGCGGUAAAAUUGCGGGGCUCAACCCCGUCGAGCCGUUGAAACUGGCAGA
rnacentral:rRNA from 1 species